rnacentral:rRNA from 1 species
UACGGGGGGAGCAAGCGUUGUUCGGAUUUACUGGGCGUAAAGGGCGCGUAGGCGGUCGUGACAAGUCACUUGUGAAAUCUCCGGGCUUAACUCGGAACGGUCAAGUGAUACUGUCGGACUAGAGUACAGAAGGGGGCAACUGGAAUUCUCGGUGUAGCGGUGAAAUGCGUAGAUAUCGAGAGGAACACCUGCGGCGAAGGCGGGUUGCUGGGCUGAUACUGACGCUGAGGCGCGGAAAGCCAGGGGAGCGAACGGG